UACGAAGGGGGCUAGCGUUGUUCGGAAUUACUGGGCGUAAAGGGCGCGCAGGCGGCCCUCCAAGUCAGGCGUGAAAGCCCCGGGCUCAACCCGGGAACAGCGCUUGAGACUGGGGGGCUUGAGUUCGGGAGAGGAGAGUGGAAUUCCCAGUGUAGAGGUGAAAUUCGUAGAUAUUGGGAAGAACACCGGUGGCGAAGGCGGCUCUCUGGACCGACACUGACGCUGA
rnacentral:rRNA from 1 species